UACAGAGGUCUCAAGCGUUGUUCGGAUUCAUUGGGCGUAAAGGGUGCGUAGGCGGCGCGGUAAGUCGGGUGUGAAAUCUCGGGGCUUAACUCCGAAACUGCAUUCGAUACUGCCGUGCUUGAGGACUGGAGAGGAGACUGGAAUUUACGGUGUAGCGGUGAAAUGCGUAGAUAUCGUAAGGAAGACCAGUGGCGAAGGCGGGUCUCUGGACAGUUCCUGACGCUGGAGAAGCGAAAGCAUGGGGAGCGAACAGG
rnacentral:rRNA from 1 species